GACCUCCAAACUAAAACAAACACACUUACGUAGGAGGAAGCAAAAAGGGUUCGUACUCGGAGGUAUAAGUAUACAAACCGAUCACGCAAAUUGCUCCCAUCAAUAUCCCGCUGCCAAACACGCCACAAUUAUGCCCAAUUUCCCGCCAUAUCCUUCUUCUCCCCGAUUUCUCCUCGAGUCCGAGCACGGCGUUCGUCGGUGGAUUGUUGUCGGCGUCGGUCCCGUUGAAGAGUGUCACAGCGCAAUCGGAGCAGACCGACCGCGUGUCGUCGACACAGUCCUGCAUCGUCGGCGCGGAUUUGCGGUACUCGUUCCAGUCGCGGAAGGCAGCCUCGAGUUCGCCGAAUUUCUCCUCGAUUUCCUGCAAUUGAUCGGCGGUGCACGGUUGCGACGCGAUCUCCGCUGAGAGGAGAUUUUUGAGAAAGAGGAAGCGCUGCUGGAGAUCGUAGACGAUGAUUUCGUGGUGUUGAGAGGAUUCGGAUUCCAAGGGAAGGCGGAAGACGUCGGCGAGAUCGGAUUCCAGUUCGUGCAGUUUCUUACUCAGGAUGAUUGAACGCUCCGUCAUUUUUCUGCAGCAGUUUCAGACGACGAAGUUUGCAGAAAAGAUUGAAACAAAGAACAAAGAUGAGUCUUAUGGUUGAUGUCACAAGCCUGUUCCCUAUUCUCGUGCCACUGCAAGAUGAUCAUCAUCCAUCCCCUGGAAUCUAGAGAUGAAGCAGUUUCAACCGCACUCCCAAAGGUAAGUUUUAUUUGCCCCUACACUUUAAUUUAAAGUUUCACCUUUAUAAUAAUAUAUUUUUUAAAUAAUCAUAGCUUAACUUUUUUGUAAAAUAAUUAUUUAAUAUUAAAUAACUCUAAAAGACUAUGUCACCUAAAAAUAUCCCAAUACUAUCUCAGCUAAAAUGCUUAAUAUUAGUGGCAAACAUAUGUAGGAUGAUGUUGCAUAAUAUUGUGUCGCGAGUCUAGAGAAGUUCACUUGGUAGCACAAAAUUAUUUUUAGUAUUUCCCAGCAAAAGAUGAAACGAUUGAUGGACAACAAUCAAAAUCCCAGGAUAGCUGUUGAAAGAGUUCUAGACAGACAAGUAUGAAACCAGUUAGGGACAAUCUAUAAUCUACUGGACAUUGACAUGGAAAACAUCAGUCCUCUCCUCUUCUUUAAUCUUUGGGA